AUUGAACGCUGGCGGCAGGCUUAACACAUGCAAGUCGAGCGGAGAUGAGGUGCUUGCACCUUAUCUUAGCGGCGGACGGGUGAGUAAUGCUUAGGAAUCUGCCUAUUAGUGGGGGACAACAUUCCGAAAGGAAUGCUAAUACCGCAUACGCCCUACGGGGGUAAGCAGGGGAUCUUCGGACCUUGCGCUAAUAGAUGAGCCUAAGUCGGAUUGGCUAGCUGGUGGGGUAAAGGCCUACCAAGGCGACGAUCUGUAGCGGGUCUGAGAGGAUGAUCCGCCACACUGGGACUGAGACACGGCCCAGACUCCUACGGGAGGCAGCAGUGGGGAAUAUUGGACAAUGGGCGGAAGCCUGAUCCAGCCAUGCCGCGUGUGUGAAGAAGGCCUUUUGGUUGUAAAGCACUUUAAGCGAGGAGGAGGCUACCUGGAUUAAUACUCUAGGAUAGUGGACGUUACUCGCAGAAUAAGCACCGGCUAACUCUGUGCCAGCCGCCGCAGUAAUAC
rnacentral:rRNA from 1 species